rnacentral:rRNA from 1 species
UACGUGGGGGGCAAGCGUUGUCCGGAAUUAUUGGGCGUAAAGAGCGCGUAGGCGGUCCGAUAAGUCGGCUGUGAAAGUCAGGGGCUCAACCCUUGGAAGCCGGCCGAUACUGUCGGACUAGAGUCCGGAAGAGGCGAGUGGAAUUCCCGGUGUAGCGGUGAAAUGCGCAGAUAUCGGGAGGAACACCAAUGGCGAAGGCAGCUCGCUGGGACGGUACUGACGCUGAGGCGCGAAAGCGUGGGGAGCGAACCGG